AUUGAACGCUGGCGGCAGGCUUAACACAUGCAAGUCGAGCGAGUGGCGGACGGGUGAGUAAUGUCUGGGAACCUGCCCGAUGGCGGGGGAUAACUACUGGAAACAGUAGCUAAUACCGCAUACCAUCGGAUGUGCCCAGAUGGGAUUAGCUAGUAGGUGGGGUAAUGGCUCACCAAGGCCACGAUCCCUAGCUGGUCUGAGAGGAUGACCAGCCAAACUGGAACUGAGACACGGUCCAGACUCCUACGGGAGGCAGCAGUGGGGAAUAUUGCACAAUGGGCGCAAGCCUGAUGCAGCCAUGCCGCGUGUAUGAAGAAGGCCUUCGGGUUGUAAAGUACUUUCAGCGAGGAGGCGUUACCCGCAGAAGAAGCACCGGCUAACUCCGUGCCAGCAGCCGCGGUAAUUC
rnacentral:rRNA from 1 species